UUAGGUUCUAGUCUUCUAGAUCAAGCAUACGCAUAACGUUGGCACCCCUGCAAAACCAGCGAUAAGAACCUUUUCAAUCUACCAUGAAAUUCGACAAAAUUUGACAAUCAUUUAUUGUGAAUUAUUGUUUGUGAGUAGUAUGGUCCCUCAGAAACCUUCACUGCUUUUCUCGAUAUCGAUAUCCGGAGAUAGGUAAUUCGUUUCGUUAGUAGGGACUUGUAUUAGUUAUUCGAAUUCGAUCCCUAUUGUUGAACGAUUUCUGGACGAGUUGAAGAUAUGACCAUGGAAUCAAAGAUUCAGAGAAAUCCAGUCGAGAACGGCACUUUCAAGAUAAUAUCAUUCAAGCGCCGCACCCCAGACGUCAAGCCAAAUAUAUUAUUACUCUUGUUUGGAAGGAUUGAAACAGUCGCGUUAGUAGAUUCCGGGUGCCCUUACGUAAUGAUAGACGAAUCACAUUAUAAUUUGAUCGUUGCCCGACAUCCGUUCCUUCGAAAAUAUGAAAAAUCGACGAAUUUAGGCGAAAGAUUUUUAUUGGCUGCUGGAAAAACCCAUCCUGAAAUCACGAGAAGAUCGGCGCUGGAAUUUUCUUUUGCAACGCAGGAGAAACCGCGGAGUCGUUAUCGAAUUGAGGUUUUAGUAACUAAAGACUUGACUUCCCAAAUGAUUAUUGGGAGGUCCCUAUUACGAGACCUAUCCGCGAUUAUCGAUAUGACGAAUAAUGGAAUUAGAGUCGUAGAACGAAGCGGAAGAUCGAGAAAGCAAAUUAUUAUUCCAUUCUAUCAGAACAGAACGACACUUCCGAAAUUCAGAAUCGACAACAAAUGGAGAUCGACAACAGUGAGCAGCGUUAACGAAAACUUCGAAUAUACGACGAGUAAUCUAAAGAUACGAGAAGCAACGCCGAUAAAUACAUUACACGACGAAUUCGAUAAAAAACCUAAGAUAGAGUUUAAAAAAGUCAUCUUACAGAUGGUAAGAAAGUUUGUCAAUACAAUGUACUUAGGCUACUACUACUGUAGUACACUGUACAGAAGGCAGCAGUUCGUCGACACUCAAUAAUUCAACAGUACGAAUUACGUAAAUAAGAUUUUUUUUUUAGAAGUUGAAAAAAGAUUUCAGUUAUUUGUCGUAGAUAUGAGAUGAGGAGUAGCAUUUUUAUUUUGUAGUUAUUUGUCGUAGAUAUGAGGAGUAGCAUUUUUAUUUUGUAGUUUUUUGUUUGAUUUUUAUAAUUAUAUCUGAGGAAGUAA